GAUGAACGCUGGCGGCGUGCCUAAUACAUGCAAGUCGAGCGAACAGACGAGGAGCUUGCUCCUCUGACGUUAGCGGCGGACGGGUGAGUAACACGUGGAUAACCUACCUAUAAGACUGGGAUAACUUCGGGAAACCGGAGCUAAUACCGGAUAAUAUAUUGAACCGCAUGGUUCAAUAGUGAAAGACGGUUUUGCUGUCACUUAUAGAUGGAUCCGCGCCGCAUUAGCUAGUUGGUAAGGUAACGGCUUUCCAAGGCAACGAUGCGUAGCCGACCUGAGAGGGUGAUCGGCCACACUGGAACUGAGACACGGUCCAGACUCCUACGGGAGGCAGCAGUAGGGAAUCUUCCGCAAUGAGCGAAAGCCUGACGGAGCAACGCCGCGUGAGUGAUGAAGGUCUUCGGAUCGUAAAACUCUGUUAUUAGGGAAGAACAAAUGUGUAAGUAACUAUGCACGUCUUGACGGUACCUAAUCAGAAAGCCACGGCUAACUACGUG
rnacentral:rRNA from 1 species